rnacentral:rRNA from 1 species
UACACGACCGUACCGCAAACCGACACUGGUGCGCGAGAUGAGUAUUCUAAGGCGCUUGAGAGAACUCAGGAGAAGGAACUCGGCAAAUUGACACCGUAACUUCGGAAGAAGGUGUGCCUUUAGUAGGUGAACCUGUACAAGGGGAGCCCAAUGAGGUUGCAAAAAAUCGGUGGCUGCGACUGUUUAAUAAAAACACAGCACUCUGCAAACACGAAAGUGGACGUAUAGGGUGUGACGCCUGCCCGGUGCUGGAAGAUUAAAUGAUGGGGUGCAAGCUCUUGAUUGAAGUCCCAGUAAACGGCGGCCGUAACGAUAACGGUCCUAAGGUAGCGAAAUUCCUUGUCGGGUAAGUUCCGACCUGCACGAAUGGCGUAACGAUGGCCACACUGUCUCCUCCUGAGACUCAGCGAAGUUGAAAUGUUUGUGAUGAUGCAAUCUCCCCGCGGAAAGACGGAAAGACCCCAUGAACCUUUACUGUAGCUUUGUAUUGGACUUUGAACAGAUCUGUGUAGGAUAGGUGGGAGGCUUUGAAGUGUGGUCGCUAGAUCGCAUGGAGCCAACGUUGAAAUACCACCCUGGUGUGUUUGAGGUUCUAACCUAGGCCCGUAAUCCGGGUCGGGGACAGUGCAUGGUAGGCAGUUUGACUGGGGCGGUCUCCUCCCAAAGCGUAACGGAGGAGUUCGAAGGUACGCUAGGUACGGUCGGACAUCGUGCUAAUAGUGCAAUGGCAUAAGCGUGCUUAACUGCGAGACUGACAAGUCGAGCAGAUGCGAAAGCAGGACAUAGUGAUCCGGUGGUUCUGUAUGGAAGGGCCAUCGCUCAACGGAUAAAAGGUACUCUGGGGAUAACAGGCUGAUACCGCCCAAGAGUUCAUAUCGACGGCGGUGUUUGGCACCUCGAUGUCGGCUCAUCUCAUCCUGGGGCUGUAGCCGGUCCCAAGGGUAUGGCUGUUCGCCAUUUAAAGAGGUACGUGAGCUGGGUUUAAAACGUCGUGAGACAGUUUGGUCCCUAUCUUCCGUGGGCGCUGCAGAUUUGAGGAAGCCUGCUCCUAGUACGAGAGGACCGGAGUGGACACACCUCUGGUGUAUCGGUUGUCACGCCAGUGGCAUUGCCGAGUAGCUAUGUGUGGAAGAGAUAACCGCUGAAAGCAUCUAAGCGGGAAACUCGUUUCAAGAUGAGAUCUGCCGGGGCCUUGAGCCCCCUAAAGAGUCGUUCAAGACCAGGACGUUGAUAGGUCGGGUGUGGAAGCGCAGUAAUGCGUUAAGCUAACCGAUACUAAUUGCUCGUGCGGCUUGACCU